CUCGCUUGCUUAGCAGUGCAGAACCAUGCUCCUCACUGCAGGGCGAGGUGUCUGCAUCUGCACUGCAGAGCUACCCCACAGCCAAGCCAGAAUGGGCCUUGCGUACCAAACCCAGACUGUGGGAGCUUUCAGUCUACACUACCAGGAAACAGGCUGCCUGUUACUUCAAUCCAUAGCUCACCGGCAUCUCCAAGAGCACCAUUAGGCUUUAUCAUCCCAGCCAGUGCUGAAGAAAGGCGUGCCUGACCGUCCCAUGCUCAGCCCCAGCUCAGCCUCCAGGAAUCAUCUGGUUAUGAAGAAUCCCAAAUUUUGCUAUACAUUAAAAUUUUGAAGUUCUCCUUCACAUAUGAGAAAACCUGAAAAUGUGAAGUCUCAACUACAUUUUCUGAUCUAGCUGUGCAUGCCCCUUUUCACUGCAGCGUUCAAGCUCUGAAGAUCUCCACACGUACUGCAAACCACCUGCAGUAAGAGGAAUAUGGUGUUAAUCAGUGCCCACUGCCCAGCUUUCCUGGAAUUGUGGCUGUAUGUGGUUUGACU